CCUACGGGGGGCUGCAGUGAGGAAUAUUGGUCAAUGGGCGGGAGCCUGAACCAGCCAAGUCGCGUGAGGGAAGACGGUCCUAUGGAUUGUAAACCUCUUUAGGCGGGGAGCAAUGCCGGGCACGCGUGCCCGGCGGGAGAGUACCCGCAGAAUAAGCUACGGCUACCUCCGUGCCAGCAGCAGCGGUAAUACGGAGGAUGCGAGCGUUAGCCGGAUUUAUUGGGUUUAAGGGGGGCGUAGGGGGAUUUUUAAGUCAGCGGUAAAAUGUCCGGGCUCAACCCGGGCCGGCCGUUGAAACUGGGGUUCUUGAGUGGGCGAGAAGUAUGCGGAAUGCGUGGUGUAGCGGUGAAAUGCAUAGAUAUCACGCAGAACUCCGAUUGCGAAGGCAGCAUACCGGCGCCCGACUGACGCUGAGGCACGAAAGCGUGGGGAUCGAACAGGAUUAGAUACCCUUGUAGUC
rnacentral:rRNA from 1 species